UAGGUUAAUAUUUCGCUGCAUCAAUCAACAUUCAACCGAUCAACAUACGAUUCUGACCAGUUCGCGACGUCAUUCUACCGUCGGACGAUACUGCAUCAGGUCGACGCGCGCCUGCGUUUCCUUGCAAUGAAACCUUAGCAGUGAAAACGUAAACAAUGAACAUCGUGAAUUUUAUAUGCGUAUAAGGUGAGGUUUUUCCCUUUUGAUUACAUCAAAGCACAGCGUCCAGCUAACAUGUACAAGCUACCGUUUUGCGAAGAAGCCAAGUCGUGUGUUUCGUGUCAGAUCGACACGCGCAUCGACCUGUUAGUUAGCAGAUUAGCAGAGGAAACAUUGGAAACAAUCAGCUUCAUGGCCGGUACAAAAUCUCUUAAAUUACUAGCGUUUUGCGUUGGUACAUCCAGCGGUUCAACACAUACGCACGAUAAAUCUCGUAGCGUUAGAUAUUUAACAACGGAACCUUCCGGAAAUAUACAGUUCAACUGAAUGUUUUCGAAUGUGCUGCGUGCAACAACUUCAUAUUUUGAUAUCAUCUUAAAUAAGCAGUGCUACGCUUCUUGGAACAUAACUAAGCUAUUCUUCGUUCAAUUUUAGAUCAUCCACCGUGUAUGACAUCAACUCAUGUACGAUGUACCUGGAAUGUUUGACCUAUUAGACAAAACCACAUACGAUUCGAAGGAUACGAUAAGUAUAGUAAACGAACCUGACGAGGAGAUCUAUGGAUAAUUUCGUCAUCGAUGCGCGUUUGAAAUUUUGCGAAUGACCUAAUGUCUGGUACUUUCAACAGCACCACUUGAUGAUCCUCAACAUCAUCAUAGCGGAUUGACGGGCAGAUCAUAUGAUCGCGUAAUUCAACUGUAAGCAACCAAAAAAUCGGUAAAUAAAUUGUA